rnacentral:rRNA from 1 species
ACUCCUACGGGAGGCAGCAGUGGGGAAUAUUUGCACAAUGGGGGAACCCAUGACUGCAGCCAUGCCGCGCUGUGUGAAGAAGGCCAAUUCGGGCUUUGGUUAAAGACACUUUUCAGUUAGGGAGGAAGGUAGUGUAGUUAACACCUGCAUUAUUUGACGUUACCUACAGAAGAGCACCGGCUAACUCCGUGCCAGCAGCCGAGGUAAUACGGAGGGUGCGAGCGUUAAUCGGAAUUACUGGGCGUAAAGCGCAUGCAGGCGGCUUGUUAAGUCAGAUGUGAAAGCCCGGGGCUU